GAACAGGUUGGCCUUUGCCAAGGGAAGCACAUAUUUUCCACCGAGAAAGAGAACGAUGAGGGUGUGCGUGGAAGCAGGUUAAGUGUGUAGACUGUAGUUGGUAAAGCUGAAAGAGCUCUUACUGAAAGAUUCUCCCCGGGGCCUGAAAGUUUAAGGGAAUGAAUAACUCCGCCCUCCUCAGGCCCAGUCCCAAGGUGCAAGGCCACUUGUGCUAGCAGCAUGCGUCAGCAAGAUAGCAGAAGCAGGAAGAGAGCUGGCCGGAAGAUAUGUACCCUGUGAAGACCGAGAGAGAGGCCGUCCAGGUACCACGUAGCAGUUACAUCAGACUGAGACACUUCCUGUUUACAGGAGACUAUAAAACCCCUGCCCCAUCCUCAUUUGGUGCUGAUGCCAUUUUCAGCCUCAGCACGCCUGCACCCAGGCGCUCAUUAAAACAGCAUGUUGCUCCCCACUGCCUCGUGUUGUCUGUUGGCGCGCUGUCGGGGUUCGAACCGAUACAAGAACCUUCCACCUACCUGGUGCUUUGGCCUCAUCUAUAAGAGCAGCUUUUCCACUGUCCUGAAACAAGAUAGAGAAUCUGAGACAUUGCAGCGGCCAGUCAUCUGCCCUAAGUGCUGCCGCCGAAGACUGAAUGUCCUGGAAAGUUUGCUGUCACAUCUCCAUUAUGACAAAAGCAUUGUGCCGAACAGAUGAAAAAAUGCAUUGUCAACGGAAUCUUUUAUGUUUGUUUGUCUUCCUUUAAGCAACAUUGCCUUACUUGUUAUAAAAGAUAAAUAAAUAUUUGUUCAUUUCAAUUCUGAUGAGUCUGUGAGCUGUUACCAUCAAGCACAGAGCAGCAACCUACUUUGGGAUUGAGAAAGUGGGAAAUCUGAAGUGAAAGUCUAUGGUGAU
rnacentral:lncRNA from 1 species